rnacentral:rRNA from 1 species
AUUGAACGCUGGCGGAAUGCUUAACACAUGCAAGUCGAGCGGAGAGAGGUAGCUUGCUACUGAUCUUAGCGGCGGACGGGUGAGUAAUGCUUAGGGAUCUGCCUAUUAGUGGGGGACAACAUUUCGAAAGGAAUGCUAAUACCGCAUACGUCCUACGGGAGAAAGCAGGGGAUCUUCGGACCUUGCGCUAAUAGAUGAGCCUAAGUCGGAUUAGCUAGUUGGUGGGGUAAAGGCCUACCAAGGCGACGAUCUGUAGCGGGUCUGAGAGGAUGAUCCGCCACACUGGGAAUGAGACACGGCCCAGACUCCUACGGGAGGCAGCAGUGGGGAAUAUUGGACAAUGGGCGCAAGCCUGAUCCAGCCAUGCCGCGUGUGUGAAGAAGGCCUUAUGGUUGUAAAGCACUUUAAGCGAGGAGGAGGCUACUUUAGAUAAUACCUAGAGAUAGUGGACGUUACUCGCAGAAUAAGCACCGGCUAACUCUGUGCCAGCAGCCGCCGUAACAC